GUCUUGUUGGAGAUUCCUGUGUGCUUGAGGUCUUCUGAAGGUCUUCCUCAAAGAACUCUCUCUUCUCAACUCUGUACAGCAUCUAGCACAAUGGGAUUUGAAGCAUGAGCUGUCUUCUCUCUGCAGUGGGGAGGCAGAGCCAUGCAAUUUUUACACGCUCCCUUGUCAAAGAGGAGCUUGUAACACAUAAACUGGAAGAAGCUGAAAUGCUGGAAGAGUUUGUAAGAAUUCUGACAGAAAAAAUGAUGUAUUUAGAAUUCUUCCUACUGUUUUUACUGGCAGCCAACUUACGUUCAUUUGUGAAAACUCUGUAUUCUAAAUUGGAAUAAAGCUAGUGAUUGGCAGAGAUUGGCUGCUUGCUUAAAAUCUCUGUCAAUGAGGAAGAGGCCCUUUGAUAUCUUAUGCUGAGCAGGGAUUUCCCUAUUUUGAGAGUCAGAAGUGUGAAACUUGAAGGCAUGGUUUGUAGUCAAAAAAGUGUUUCUCACAGUGUGACACGUUUUUAUAUUCUGUGCUCUAAUGUGUUUUCUGAGUUCCUAUCUGUUUAAGAGCUAUUGCUGAGAAGACAGGGUUUUGCUGCUGCAGAGCUCAUGUAGUGGCAGAAGGGCAAAAGAAAUCGUACUUUGCCUUUUGCAGUGUCAGUAAAACUAUAACAAAGCCCAGAAAUAUACAGUU
ensembl:lncRNA